CCCCUAGAUGUUCUGGGCCGCACGCGCGCUACACUGAACAGUUCAACAAGUCUUAACCUUGGCCGAUAGGUCUGGGUAAUCUUUGAACGCUGUUCGUGAUUGGGAUAGACCUUUGCAAUUAUGGGUCUUCAACGAGGAAUUCCUAGUAAACGCAAGUCAUCAGCUUGCAUUGAUUACGUCCCUGCCCUUUGUACACACCGCCCGUCGCACCUACCGAUUGAAUGGUCCGGUGAAAUCUCGGGACGGCGGCUUGGUCGCUUGCGUCCGACUGCUGAAACUUGAUUAAACCAUAUCAUUUAGCGGAAGGUGAANUCGUAACA
rnacentral:rRNA from 1 species